rnacentral:lncRNA from 1 species
GUGGUGAACAUUCCUAAAAUCCACCAAAUUUUCUGUGAGAAGUGUGGCAAGCACCAACCCCAUGAAGUGACACAGGGCAAGAAGGGCAAGGAUUUUCUGUAUGCCCAGGGGAAGUGGUGUUAUGACAGAUAGCAGGGUGGCUCUGGUGGGCAGACUAAGCCAAUUAUCCAGAAAAAGCUAAAACUACAAAGAAGAUUGUGCUAAGGCUUAGUGCAUUAAGCCCAGACCAACCGCAGAUCUAAGAGAAUGCUAGCUAUCAAAAGAUGCAAGCAUUUUGAACUGGAAGGUGGUAAGAAGAGACACGGCCAAGUAAUACGGUUC